UACGGGGGGGAGCAAGCGUUGUUCGGAUUUACUGGGCGUAAAGCGUGCGUAGACGGUUGCGUAAGUCAGAUGUGAAAGCCCCGGGCUCAACCUGGGAAUUGCAUUUGAGACUGCGUAGCUAGGGUGCGGAAGAGGGAAGCGGAAUUUCCGGUGUAGCGGUGAAAUGCGUAGAUAUCGGAAGGAACACCAGUGGCGAAAGCGGCUUCCUGGUCCAGCACCGACGUUCAGGCACGAAAGCGUGGGGAGCAAACAGG
rnacentral:rRNA from 1 species